CCUUCGAUAGCUCAGUUGGUAGAGCGGUGGACUCUAGAAGUUGUGAUGGUUAUCCAUAAGUCGCUGGUUCGAAUCCGGCUCGAAGGA
rfam:Ciona savignyi cont_20867, whole genome shotgun sequence.